rfam:Candidatus Roizmanbacteria bacterium RIFCSPLOWO2_02_FTLL_43_10 rifcsplowo2_02_scaffold_22592, whole genome shotgun sequence.
GGGGGCGUAGUUAAAUGGUAUAACAGAGGUCUCCAAAACCUCUAUUGGGAGUUCAAUUCUCUCCGCCCCUG